ACUCCAGCUCCAAGAGCGUAUAUUAAAGUUGCAGCGUUAAAAAAAAAUCGUAGUUGGAUUUCUGUCUAGGAAGGUUGCAAAAGGCUGUACGUUGAUUUUCCUCAAACUUCGUCAGAAGCUCGUACAGCACUUAAUUGUGUGGUCCGAUGUUUUGACCUUUUACCUUGAGGAACGUGAGUGUUUCAGGCAGGCUACCCAGCUUGGAUACAUUAGCAUGGAAUAAUGAAAUGGAUCUCGGUUCGAUUUCGUUGGUUCUAGAACGGGGGUGAUGAUCAAUAGGAACAGGCGAAUUGAGAGUGAGGCGUGAAAUUCGAUGAUCUCUUAAAGACGGUCCGAGGCGAACACAUCUGUCAAGGAUGUUCUCAUCA
rnacentral:rRNA from 1 species